CAGCAGCCGCGGGAAAACGAAGGGGGCUAGCGUUGUUCGGAUUUACUGGGCGUAAAGCGCACGUAGGCGGAUCCUUAAGUCAGAGGUGAAAUCCCGGGGCUCAACCCCGGAACUGCCUUUGAAACUAGAUAGCUUGAAUCUUGGAGAGGCGAGUGGAAUUCCGAGUGUAGAGAUGAAAUUCGUAGAUAUUCGGAAGAACACCAGUGGCGAAGGCGACUCGCUGGACAAGUAUUGACGCUGAGGUGCGAAAGCGUGGGGAGCAAACAGGAUUAGAUACCCCAGUAGUCCCUGUCUCUUAUAC
rnacentral:rRNA from 1 species